rnacentral:sRNA from 1 species
AUAAAAGAAUAUGUUGUACCGUAGACAGCAGGGACGCGCAGACGUUUAAUUCAUCCUGCCGAGGUGUUUAUAAAUAAAUUGGUAAUCGACUGAUGUGUGAUUCCAAUAAAAAUAAGCUCCCAUGUCUGCGUGGGAGCUUUUUUAAUAACUAU